rnacentral:rRNA from 1 species
GAUGAACGCUGGCGGCGUGCCUAAUACAUGCAAGUCGAGCGAACAGACGAGGAGCUUACUCCUCUGACGUUAGCGGCGGACGGGUGAGUAACACGUGGAUAACCUACCUAUAAGACUGGGAUAACUUCGGGAAACCGGAGCUAAUACCGGAUAACAUGUUGAACCGCAUGGUUCAACAGUGAAAGACGGUCUUGCUGUCACUUAUAGAUGGAUCCGCGUCGCAUUAGCUAGUUGGUAAGGUAACGGCUUACCAAGGCAACGAUGCGUAGCCGACCUGAGAGGGUGAUCGGCCACACUGGAACUGAGACACGGUCCAGACUCCUACGGGAGGCAGCAGUAGGGAAUCUUCCGCAAUGGGCGAAAGCCUGACGGAGCAACGCCGCGUGAGUGAAGAAGGUCUUCGGAUCGUAAAACUCUGUUAUUAGGGAAGAACAAAUGUGUAAGUAACUAUGCACGUCUUGACGGUACCUAAUCAGAAAGCCACGGCUAACUACGUGCCAGCAGCCGCGGUAAUACGUAGGUGGCAAGCGUUAUCCGGAAUUAUUGGGCGUAAAGCGCGCGUAGGCGGUUUUUUAAGUCUGAUGUGAAAGCCCACGGCUCAACCGUGGAGGGUCAUUGGAAACUGGAAAACUUGAGUGCAGAAGAGGAAAGUGGAAUUCCAUGUGUAGCGGUGAAAUGCGCAGAGAUAUGGAGGAACACCAGUGGCGAAGGCGACUUUCUGGUCUGUAACUGACGCUGAUGUGCGAAAGCGUGGGGAUCAAACAGGAUUAGAUACCCUGGUAGUCCACGCCGUAAACGAUGAGUGCUAAGUGUUAGGGGGUUUCCGCCCCUUAGUGCUGCAGCUAACGCAUUAAGCACUCCGCCUGGGGAGUACGACCGCAAGGUUGAAACUCAAAGGAAUUGACGGGGACCCGCACAAGCGGUGGAGCAUGUGGUUUAAUUCGAAGCAACGCGAAGAACCUUACCAAAUCUUGACAUCCUCUGACCCCUCUAGAGAUAGAGUUUUCCCCUUCGGGGGACAGAGUGACAGGUGGUGCAUGGUUGUCAUCAGCUCGUGUCGUGAGAUGUUGGGUUAAGUCCCGCAACGAGCGCAACCCUUAAGCUUAGUUGCCAUCAUUAAGUUGGGCACUCUAAGUUGACUGCCGGUGACAAACCGGAGGAAGGUGGGGAUGACGUCAAAUCAUCAUGCCCCUUAUGAUUUGGGCUACACACGUGCUACAAUGGACAAUACAAAGGGUAGCGAAACCGCGAGGUCAAGCAAAUCCCAUAAAGUUGUUCUCAGUUCGGAUUGUAGUCUGCAACUCGACUACAUGAAGCUGGAAUCGCUAGUAAUCGUAGAUCAGCAUGCUACGGUGAAUACGUUCCCGGGUCU